GCGAGGAAUAUUGGACAAUGGGCGCAAGCCUGAUCCAGCCAUGCCGCGUGCAGGAAGACGCAUCUAUGGUGUGUAAACUGCUUUUGUACGGGAAGAAACACUCCCUCGUGAGGGAGCUUGACGGUACCGUAAGAAUAAGGAUCGGCUAACUCCGUGCCAGCAGCCGCGGUAAUACGGAGGAUCCAAGCGUUAUCCGGAAUCAUUGGGUUUAAAGGGUCCGUAGGCGGUUUAAUAAGUCAGUGGUGAAAGCCCAUCGCUCAACGAUGGAACGGCCAUUGAUACUGUUAGACUUGAAUUACAAGGAAGUAACUAGAAUAUGUAGUGUAGCGGUGAAAUGCUUAGAUAUUACAUGGAAUACCAAUUGCGAAGGCAGGUUACUACUUGUGGAUUGACGCUGAUGGACGAAAGCGUGGGGAGCGAACAGGAUUAGAUACCCUAGUAGUCC
rnacentral:rRNA from 1 species